rnacentral:rRNA from 1 species
UACGUGGGGUGCAAGCGUUGUUCGGAAUUACUGGGCGUAAAGAGCACGUAGGCGGGCUCGUAUGUCAAUUGUGAAAUCCCCGGGCUCAACCUGGGAAUUGCAGUUGAAACUGCGAGUCUUGAGUGUCUGAGAGGAUGGGAGAAUUGCUGGUGUAGUAGUGAAAUACGUAGAUAUCAGCAGGAAUACCUGAGGCGAAGGCGCCUAUCUGGCAGUGCACUGACGCUGAGGUGCGAAAGCGUGGGGAGCAAACAGG